rnacentral:lncRNA from 1 species
CUCAUCUCCAAUUCCAAGCCUAGCUCAACGAUGAGCUGUGACCAAGUAACACAGCCCAAAAUAGAAGCUGCUCCACUGAGGGUUUCAGACUGGAAGAUGAUGCUAGGAUGAAGAAAAAGGAGCAGUGAGGCUGGAGAGGGGUGAAUAAAGGUUUGCCCCUUCCAAGGAAUGGGAGCUAGGUGAUGAGGGGCACAGAGAAGAGUCAGGUCCCAAAGGAAAUGCAGACCUGGGCCAGAUCACAUGGAGCAGCAUGUCCAUCCCAUCAGAUCCAGACCAAGAAAUGGAUUAGGACCUCUCUUCCGUACUAAUUACUACAAACCCUCUUCUUUCUGUCGUCAAAGAAUCUUCACAACUGGAGUAAAACUUCAAAGCAAACUUUGCGCCGCUCACCCGGUGAAGGGCGCCAAGCUGGGCGGUCAGCCUGGACCAGCUGGAUGGUCAAGGCCAGAUUCAGGCCCACGCUCCUACCUCAUCCUUAGGCAAUGCUGCCACAGCGGGUAGGAAGCUCAACACUGUGCCCUGGCCUGCACCCCGCGGCCGCUUGGCCCUCGGCUCCCAGAGGAGGGACUAGCCGCCGCACUGCGUUCUGGACCGGGCCCCGCGCCUCGGAUGCCGCUGGAGGCACCCGAGACCUGGACCACACCCCAUUAGGAGGCUAGUGCUGGCGAUCCGGGCCACGCCCCGCGAGGGGCCCAGGGCAAGCGGUCCCGCCUGGCCCCGGCCCAGCCGCCUUCAGAGAGAAAGUUGUUGCUCAAGCUUGAGGAAUGCGGAGCCACCGCGGCGCGGGAGGAAGCAGUGGGAGAGUACGGCCGCCCGCGGGCGGGGACCCCGCGGCAAACUGCACCCUAAUGUAAACAGCGCUUCCGGCUGGGAAGUGUCUCCGCCCAAGGGUCCAGGCGCAUCCAACAUCAGGAGGUGACAGUCACGCCCUCUGGUAGCACCACGUGAGGCUAGGAUGGCCAAGCCGAGGGCCCUGCCCCUGGGCAAUUGGGACCGGGCAACAGAGGCAGACCCAAAGACGGAGGCAAGAACCUCCCACUGGAAAACUCCAAGAAGGCAAGGAUUUUUGUCUACUAUGUUCAUGAUUAAUCUCCCAGUCUUUAA